rnacentral:rRNA from 1 species
GACGAACGCUGGCGGCGUGCUUAACACAUGCAAGUCGAACGGAAAGGCCCAGCUUGCUGGGUACUCGAGUGGCGAACGGGUGAGUAACACGUGGGUGAUCUGCCCUGGACUCUGGGAUAAGCCUGGGAAACUGGGUCUAAUACCGGAUAUGACCUUACAUCGCAUGGUGUUUGGUGGAAAGCUUUUGCGGUUCAGGAUGGGCCCGCGGCCUAUCAGCUUGUUGGUGGGGUAAUGGCCUACCAAGGCGACGACGGGUAGCCGACCUGAGAGGGUGAUCGGACACACUGGGACUGCGACACGGCCCAGACGCCUACGGGAGGCAGCAGUGGGGAAUAUUGCGCAAUGGGCGCAAGCCUGAUGCAGCGACGCCGCGUGAGGGAUGACGGCCUUCGGGUUGUAAACCUCUUUCACCAGGGACGAAGCGUGAGUGACGGUACCUGGAGAAGAAGCACCGGCCAACUACGUG